CACGUAGGGCGCAAGCGUUGUCCGGAAUUAUUGGGCGUAAAGAGCUCGUAGGCGGUCUGUUACGUCUGCUGUGAAAACCCGGGGCUUAACCCUGGGCUUGCAGUGGAUACGGGCAGACUAGAGGCAGGUAGGGGAGAAUGGAAUUCCCGGUGUAGCGGUGAAAUGCGCAGAUAUCGGGAGGAACACCGGUGGCGAAGGCGGUUCUCUGGGCCUGACCUGACGCUGAGGAGCGAAAGCGUGGGGAGUGAACAGG
rnacentral:rRNA from 1 species